UACGUAGGGUGCGAGCGUUGUCCGGAAUUAUUGGGCGUAAAGAGCUCGUAGGCGGCUUGUUGCGUCGGAUGUGAAAGCCCGGGGCUUAACUCCGGGUCUGCAUUCGAUACGGGCAGGCUAGAGUUCGGUAGGGGAGAUCGGAAUUCCUGGUGUAGCGGUGAAAUGCGCAGAUAUCAGGAGGAACACCGGUGGCGAAGGCGGAUCUCUGGGCCGAUACUGACGCUGAGACGCGAAAGCGUGGGGAGCAAACAGG
rnacentral:rRNA from 1 species